GGAGAGAUGGCCGAGAAGGUCGAAGGCGGUCGCCUGCUAAGCGAUUAAGCGAGCUUAAACUCGCUUCCAGGGUUCGAAUCCCUGUCUCUCCGCCA
rnacentral:tRNA from 1 species